UACAGAGGGUGCGAGCGUUGUCCGGAAUCACUGGGCGUAAAGGGCGCGUAGGCGGCUUGAUAAGCGUGCGGUGAAAGCCCGGGGCUCAACCCCGGGUCGGCCGUGCGAACUGUCGAGCUGGAGCACUGUAGAGGCAGGUGGAAUUCCGGGUGUAGCGGUGGAAUGCGUAGAUAUUCGGAAGAACACCAGUGGCGAAGGCGACUCACUGGACACGUAUUGACGCUGAGGUGCGAAAGCGUGGGGAGCAAACAGG
rnacentral:rRNA from 1 species